AAAUCAAAAGUAAUCAUUGUAUUACAGGGCAAUUAACAGCUGAUGGAAACUUUGCAGCAGUAAAUACUGACUGAUGAUUCACAGCACAGUGGGCACCUGCUAUGCCUGAAAAAAUGAAGACAAACAUCUUGCCUGCAACGGAAGGCUGAAGAAGGAGAACUGGGAGGAGGAUGGACCUGGAAAGAUCUUGUGUAAGUGGGAGUUCCACUGGCUGGUUAAAAAGCCUUUAAGGCCGACACAAGAAGAAUGACUUCCUCCAGGCUUGCUUAUGAGGACUGUAAAUCCAGGCAGACUUUGGAAUAACUCCUAGCAAAACCAAAGAAAGACCUGCCUGGUUCUGCCCAUUCAGCUUUUGGGACUCUUCCUACUGCUUCUGGAGUCAUCAAACCUUA